rnacentral:rRNA from 1 species
GACGUAGGAUGCAAGCGUUGUCCGGAUUUAUUGGGCGUAAAGAGUUCGUAGGCGGUUCGUUAAGUCUGAUGUUAAAGACUGGGGCUCAACCCCGGGAGUGCAUUGGAUACUGGCGGACUGGAGUGUGGUAGAGGCUAGUGGAAUUCCCAGUGUAGCGGUGAAAUGCGUAGAUAUUGGGAAGAACACCGGUGGCGAAGGCGACCAUCUGGACCGGAACUGACGCUGAGGCGCGAAAGCCAGGGGAGCGAAUGGG